GACGAACCGUGCGAACGUUAUUCGGAAUUAUUGGGCUUAAAGAGCGCGUAGGCGGCGAGGCAAGUGAGGGGUGAAAUCCUAUCGGCUCAACCGUGGAAUAGCCUUUCAUACUGCCUUGCUCGAGGGGGGUAGGGGUCGAUGGAACUUCCGGUGGAGCGGUGAAAUGUGUUGAGAUCGGAAGGAACGCCAGUGGCGAAAGCGAUCGACUGGAUCUUUUCUGACGCUGAGGCGCGAAAGCUAGGGGAGCGAA
rnacentral:rRNA from 1 species